rnacentral:rRNA from 1 species
GCAAGUCGAACGCGAAAGCUCCCUUCGGGGGGCAAGUAGAGUGGCGCACGGGUGAGUAACACGUAGGUAAUCUACCUUCGGAUGGGGAAUAACAACCGGAAACGGUUGCUAAUACCGCAUAAUGCAGCGGCACCUAAUGGUGACAGUUGUUAAAGCGGGGGAUCGUAAGACCUCGCGUCUGAAGAGGAGCCUGCGGCAGAUUAGCUAGUUGGUAAGGUAACGGCUUACCAAGGCGAUGAUCUGUAGCCGGCCUGAGAGGGCGGUCGGCCACACUGACACUGACAUACGGGUCAGACUCCUACGGGAGGCAGCAGUCGGGAAUUUUGGGCAAUGGGCGAAAGCCUGACCCAGCAACGCCGCGUGAAGGAUGAAAUCCUUCGGGAUGUAAACUUCGCAAGAACGGGAAGAAUAAGUGAGGGUUAAUAUCUCUCGCGAUGACGGUACCGUUUGUAAGCUCCGGCUAACUCCGUGCCAGCAGCCGCGGUAAUACGGGGGGAGCAAGCGUUGUUCGGAUUUACUGGGCGUAAAGGGCGCGUAGGCGGCCACCGCAAGUCGACUGUGAAAUCUCCGGGCUUAACCCGGAAAGGUCAGCCGAUACUGCGGGGCUAGAGUGCAGAAGGGGCAACUGGAAUUCUCGGUGUAGCGGUGAAAUGCGUAGAUAUCGAGAGGAACACCUGCGGCGAAGGCGGGUUGCUGGGCUGACACUGACGCUGAGGCGCGAAAGCUAGGGGAGCGAACGGGAUUAGAUACCCCGGUAGUCCUAGCCUUAAACGAUGAAUGCUUGGUGUCUGGGGUUUUAUAGUCCCCGGGUGCCGUCGCUAACGCUUUAAGCAUUCCGCCUGGGGAGUACGGUCGCAAGACUGAAACUCAAAGGAAUUGACGGGGACCCCCACAAGCGGUGAGCAUGUG